UCCUAAUUGGGCUAGCGUUGCUCGGAAUCACUGGGCGUAAAGGGUGCGUAGGCGGGUCUUUAAGUCAGGGGUGAAAUCCUGGAGCUCAACUCCAGAACUGCCUUUGAUACUGAAGAUCUUGAGUUCGGGAGAGGUGAGUGGAACUGCGAGUGUAGAGGUGAAAUUCGUAGAUAUUCGCAAGAACACCAGUGGCGAAGGCGGCUCACUGGCCCGAUACUGACGCUGAGGCACGAAAGCGUGGGGAGCAAACAGG
rnacentral:rRNA from 1 species